GCCCUGGUGGCAAGAUGGUAAAGCGGUCGGCUGCUAACCAAAAAGUUGGCAGUUCGAACCUACCCAAUGGCU
rnacentral:tRNA from 1 species